GAAACAAUACAGCUUAAUACCUAGUCAGCAAGAAUUUGUUAUAAUAGUAUGCCAUCAAAUGUUCACUUGUGAGCUGCUGCAGCCCUAACCCAACCUUUCCCCUCCCCAGCAGCAGCUCUUGCCCAUGGGGGCUUGGAGGGUGCAUUGCCUUCGUUUGGGAUGAAUACAGUUCAGUGUUGUGCCAGAUAUGAAGAUUCUUAGGACCACUCCAAAGAGAAGUCAUCUGUUUUCAGGAACAUCUUUAGCGAUAGCCAACAAGAUAUUAAGCAACUAAUUCUACCAAGUUCCACUGGAUCUUUCAAGGUGUAUAUUUUGGCUCUUAGGCCAUCCAUUCAUAAAAUAGGCAACAAAGAAAAAGAAUCCAUUUCUUAUCGCUGGGAGGUGAGACAAAGGGAAAGCUGCAGUAACCAUGCUGGGGCAAGAUCUGCAUCCUAGAUCAUUCAAACAGGGAUCUGGAUAAUGACCCACACCUGUGCCUCAGUACCAGCUGUCUUGGAGCCCAAGAAGAGAUGCCAGCAAAGAUGCGAGCCAUGUAAUGUGGUAGAGGAAGCAGCCGAUGUUGGACCAGGCUCCUGAGUCAAACAUACCAGGUACCUCACCUAAUUUUUUCCCUUUUUCCUCCAUCCUUUGUGGGUGAACAACUCUCCACCAUUUGUCCAAAUAUCCUCUUCUGAUGCCCCAAUUGUUCAUUCCCCAUACAAUGCCUUCACAUCUAUUCCCACUGAUAUAAAGAAAGGUCAAUUACCAUCAGUCUUAAUUUGGCAUAGUUAACAGUGACAGAGUGAGAAAGAAAGAAGGGAAAAGGGUUUUCUCCUUAAAGAAACAGGAAGCAUUGUCUCCCUUUAUUGGAAGCUGAAGUAGAAUGCAAGUAUAAUUAAUUCCUCCCCAAUCGUUUGUUUUUGUUUGCAUAAACAACUUUUUAUGACUAUUUAAACAAUUCCUUUAUAUGUCCUGUUAAAUGAACUCUCAUAUAUUUUAAACGCUUCAUAGCAAUUUUGAAUAAACUUUCUUUUGUUAUCUAGUGUGGUGUUACU
ensembl:lncRNA